AAGAAAAAAAACUAGAUUAUAAAUAUACCUCUGAAAAAACCUCUGUUUUCUAAUUAGAUGUUUUGUGCAGACCUGGUUGACUUAAUUUCCCAAGCUAGACAGAUCUGAUUGAUUGCUGACAUUGAUUUGGAGGAGGAGAGAAAUACAUUUAAACUGCAUCAUCAAACUAUAUUUCAAAUGGAAAUUGUCCCUUGCUGUCUAGGCCACGGAAUGACUAGGUGCAGCAGGUCUGUGCCAUCACUCAUGCAGAUGAUAUGCGUAAAUUUAUUUAAUUUGAGCCAGAGUGCAGUCCUCUUCUGUUUGUGCUUGUCCCAGUUCGACACGAUACAUCACGCCCAUGUUGCCUUUAAGAUUAAAUUAGCAACACGUGUUUUUCCAGACGCUGAUCUGACGCGUGACCCCGUGCAGGUGGACUGUUAUUUACGGUUUGGAAAGCAUUUCUUCCUCUGUGGUGCGGUGAGGCUGGAUAUGAAUGCGAAACACCUGAAGAAGAGCUGGUCGGUAGUGGGUGACAUGGAACGAGGGUGAUGUCAGCCUGUUCUUCAUCAUCCUGUGAUUCCUUCUGAGGGAUGGAGGAUGUUUUGAAACACACAGUGACUUUUCCCUGUCGUUAAGUAUAAUAUCAGGAGGUGAUGUUUUUUUUGUCAAAAAGACUUUUAAAAAAGAAUAUGUUUUAGCUGGCCUGGAGAACACAAACAGAAUCUUGUUUUCCUAAACAUUUUGUAUGAGGCCCCGAAUAUUGGGUU